CUGAAACUUCGAAGCAUGAUCCUACCUUUAACCAAAAGGAGAGAAUGCUUUUGAUUGCCCACUGGUAGUCACUCAGUCGAAAUAAUGGGUUUGGCCACACAGAUGUCAUUGGCGAGAGGGGUUCAUCAUGAUCAUUGGCUCCAGAGCGCCGAAAUUUCUCCUCACUCUCUCUCCGUGGGACUGAGUUGAUCCCGUUCAUUGCUUGGUUCUUCCACCACGAAUGAUUGACCGCUAGUGGUAGCGGGAGCAGAGAAUUGUCCGUCCUCAUGAGAAGGGUGAAGAACGCAGAAGGAGUGAAGAUUUGACAUUAAAGCGCUACCGCUGGGCUGAUUUAGGGCCCUGGCACUGACUGACAACUUCCGUACAGACGUAGUUGGGACAGA
rnacentral:sRNA from 1 species